ACAACUUUCCUCCCCUUUUUCGGUCUCCCUCAAAAAUUGUUCCACCAAAACCUCCAGAUCUAAGCAAGUCUCUAGGCUUCAUCAAAGUGUAGCCUUUUAUUUUACCACUGCUCCUUGCCAAACAUCUUAGGUGUCUCUCCUCUCAUCAUCAUCAUCAUCAUCAUCAUCAUCACCACCCUUAACAGACUUUGGGAUAUCUGCUACGUAAGUCUCUAUCGGAGAAGAUGAAAAAUAUGUGUGUCAACUUUGUGAAGUUUGAAGAGGAAAAACUUCAACUAUGGCAACGUCUCUAGGCUUCUUCUUGCCUAAU
rnacentral:lncRNA from 1 species